rnacentral:lncRNA from 1 species
AAUUUCUUCAAACAUUUUUUUGAGAGGAUUAAUAUUCAACAGCAUAGUGAAUUGCUCUAAGAGAAAACAAAAAUUUUAAGUUCAUUAGAACACAUUCAUUCUGUGUCAGAAACCUAUGCUGUGUCAACUAUUUAAUCACAAUCCAAAUUUAGAGCUGAAUCCAGCUUGAAUGUUGUGUCCAUACUUGCCCCAACCGUUCAGGGUUCAACCUCUGCGGUCGUAUAAAGCUACGCCCUGCGGAGCAUCUGGUUAGCACAU